GACGAACGCUGGCGGCGUGCUUAACACAUGCCAGUCGAACGGAAGGGCCCUGCUUGCAGGGUACUCGAGUGGCGAACGGGUGAGUAACACGUGGGUGAUCUGCCCUGCACUUCGGGAUAAGCUUGGGAAACUGGGUCUAAUACCGGAUAGGAGCCAUCUUUAGUGUGGUGGUUGGAAAGUUUUUUCGGUGUAGGAUGAGCUCGCGGCCUAUCAGCUUGUUGGUGGGGUAAUGGCCUACCAAGGCGGCGACGGGUAGCCGGCCUGAGAGGGUGUACGGCCACAUUGGGACUGAGAUACGGCCCAGACUCCUACGGGAGGCAGCAGUGGGGAAUAUUGCACAAUGGGCGCAAGCCUGAUGCAGCGACGCCGCGUGGGGGAUGAAGGCCUUCGGGUUGUAAACUCCUUUCGCUAGGGACGAAGCUUUUUUGUGACGGUACCUAGAUAAGAAGCACCGGCUAACUACGUG
rnacentral:rRNA from 1 species